GACGAACGCUGGCGGCGUGCUUAACACAUGCAAGUCGAACGGACAGGCCCUGCUUUUGUGGGGUGCGCGGGGGGGCAAAGGGUGGGUAACACGUGGGGUACCCUCCCUUUCCGUUGGGGUAACCCCAGGGAACUGGGGCUAAUACCGGGUUGGAGCGGCUGCUGCGCGGGGGGGGGUGGAGAGUUUCGGCGGGUGGGGAUGAGCUCGCGGCUUGUGGGGUUGGUGGUGGGGUAGUGGCUUACCAGGGCGUUGGCGGGUAGCGGGCCUGAGAGGGUGACCGGCCUCAUUGGGACUGAGAUACGGCCCGGAGUCCUGCGGGAUGCAGCAGUGUGGGCUGUUGCACAAUGGGCGGAAGCCGGAUGCAGCAACGCCGCGUGCGGGAUGACGGCCUUCGUGUUGUGUACCGCUGUCGCCUGUGACGAAGCGUGAGUGACGGUAGCGGGUGAAGAAGCACCGGCUAACUACGUG
rnacentral:rRNA from 1 species